UGCAGAAUCCCGUGAACCAUCGAGUCUUUGACGCAAGUUGCGCCCGAAGCCAUUAGGCCGAGGGCACGUCUGCCUGGGCGUCACACGUCGUUGCCCCCCCCAACCCCCUCGGGAGUUGGAUGGGACGGAUGAUGGCCUCCCGUGUGCUCAGUCACGCGGUUGGCAUAAAUACCAAGUCCUCGGCGACCAACGCCACGACAAUCGGUGGUUGUCAAACCUCGGUUUCCUGUCGUGCGCGCGUGUUGAUCGAGUGCUCUCUUAAACAAUGCGUGUCGAUCCGUCGAUGCUUUCAACGCGACCCCAGGUCAGGCGGGGUUACCCGCUGAAUUUAA
rnacentral:rRNA from 1 species